UACGUAGGGUGCGAGCGUUGUCCGGAAUUAUUGGGCGUAAAGGGCUCGUAGGCGGUUUGUCGCGUCGGGAGUGAAAACCCAGGGCUUAACCCUGGGCUGGCUUUCGAUACGGGCAGACUAGAGGUAUGCAGGGGAGAACGGAAUUCCUGGUGUAGCGGUGAAAUGCGCAGAUAUCAGGAGGAACACCGGUGGCGAAGGCGGUUUCCUGGCCGAGUACUGACGCUGAGGCACGAAAGCGUGGGGAGCGAACGGG
rnacentral:rRNA from 1 species